AACGAACGCUGGCGGCAGGCCUAACACAUGCAAGUCGAGCGAGGACUUCGGUCCUAGCGGCGGACGGGUGAGUAACGCGUGGGAACGUGCCCUUUGCUUCGGAAUAGCCCUGGGAAACUGGGAGUAAUACCGGAUGAGCCCUUUGGGGGAAAGAUUUAUCGGCGAAGGAUCGGCCCGGGUUGGAUUAGGUAGUUGGUGGGGUAAUGGCCUACCAAGCCGACGAUCCAUAGCUGGUUUGAGAGGAUGAUCAGCCACACUGGGACUGAGACACGGCCCAGACUCCUACGGGAGGCAGCAGUGGGGAAUCUUAGACAAUGGGGGAAACCCUGAUCUAGCCAUGCCGCGUGAGCGGUGAAGGCCUUAGGGUUGUAAAGCUCUUUCAGCUGGGAAGAUAAUGACGGUACCAGCAGAAGAAGCCCCGGCUAACUCCGUG
rnacentral:rRNA from 1 species